AAAAACUCGCUAAGUUGAAAACCCAAAAGGGUGACUUAGGUAAAAAUGAGUAUCCUGGUGGACGAAAAAAAUAGAAAAUGUUCAGGCAAAAGUUAGGGAUAAAGGCAUUUGACUACAACCCUUGAGCCUAUCUCAUUAGAGCUUGAUCUCAAACGGUCAAAGAUUGAUCCAAUCAUCGCCAACUAAAGCAAAGUGUUGGAACCUAGAUCUUACAAUGGAUAAUAGUCGAUGUUGUAAUCAAUGGAAAAAUACAAA
rnacentral:lncRNA from 1 species